GGAAGUAAAAGUGUAACAAGGUUUCCGUAGGUGAACCUGCGGAAGGAUCAUUAAAGAAUUUGCCCCGUCCUCUCGAGGAUGGGUCCUCUUCUAAACCGUGUAUACAUACCUUUGUUGCUUUGGCGGGCCGCCGUCUCGGCGUUGGCUUCGGCUGACUGUGCCCGCCAGAGAACCCCAACUCUUCUGUUUAGUAUUGUCUGAGUACUAUAUAAUAGUUAAAACUUUCAACAACGGAUCUCUUGGUUCUG
rnacentral:misc_RNA from 1 species